CUUUGGUUCAUGCAUCUACAGGUUUUUUCCGUCCCCCUUUGAUUUCAUGCUGCCACGACUGAGGGGCGGCGCCCUAGCGCCCUCUAUGGACGAACCGCCACUGGUCCUGGAACCACUCGCGCACUUGAGCAGCCCGGUGGAAACUCACAUUGUCCCAGAUGACAACAUGAUCGACCCGCUGUUGGUCAUCUAUUUGGCCAGGUGGUACCAGCAGGUCAUGCAGGCCAUCGAGGAAGACGAGGAGACGGGCGGUGUUAUCGGCCCCUAGGUGGGCAUGACGGUGCAAGAUCCCAUGUUGAUUCAUCGCAGCACACAUCGUGAUGUUCCCACCACGCUGGCCGGGGACCUCAACAAUGGCCCGCUGGCCAAUGACAUUUCUGCCCCUUCGCCUCCUCUUUACCAGGUUGAAACCCACCUCAUCAAUAAAGAUGUACUGGUAAAGUACA